CUGGUUCUUCCAUUUGGAGUAGUUUUAAGGCAAUUUUGAAGGGACUUAUAGCAACUCAAGGCAUGUCUGAGCUUGUAAUCGGCAAGAUGCUUGCAUAGUUUUGGGUUUGCGUAUAAAGGAUUUCCUGUGGCCAUGUUGAUAGAGAUUGAAAGGGAGUUUAUUGAUUUGUGAUUUCAAAAGCAAAAAGGAAAAACACAAGCAUUAGAACAAAUUGGCAAUAUUAAC
rnacentral:misc_RNA from 1 species